rnacentral:lncRNA from 1 species
AGACUAAUAGUUCAUUUCUUGUCUUCCAUUUAUCGAAUAAUUGACCUCUGAAAAUCCCCAACAAGGCCUUGACUGGCAACACAGCAGCAAACAACAUCUCAGGGAAGGAAGAGCAGUUGGAUAGGGAGAUAAGAGUGCUGUCUUGAUGUCGCAGCAGCUAACAGCCAAGGGACAUUGCAAUAAAAUGUGCUCUUAGAUUGAAUCACACAAGCACACUAAACACAAGAUGCAUGGGUGCUUAGAGUAAUGUUAUGG